rnacentral:misc_RNA from 1 species
CAACUUCCCCAAAGAUGUUGCUUCCUCUUUUUUAACUUAGUCAAGUAUUACCAAAACUAAUACAUGUCAAAUGCAUUUCUUCACAUGUCAAAUUAGCACCUGAAUUAAUCAUCAAUUCAACCACUACUGUNAGGGAAACAGGUAAGUCAAAUUGGGUAAACCAAUUACACUACACACCUCUUUCCUCUUUCAAGUGAUGAGCCCUAUAACCCCAAGGAAGAAAUCUACAGAGAUAUAUUAUAUUGUAUUGUAUCUACCACUGUCAAGAGCAGAAACAUACAAAUGGCAAAUGAAUUUUGUGAGGACAAGGAGAGAACAAGUUAAAUAUCAACUGCUCAGUGGUAUAAGGAUGAAGACACCCAAGGAAGAGCCAAAGAGGGCUAAAGAGCCUUCUAGGAACUCCAGAAGGAACUUUGCACGGUAUGCUAAAUGAAAGUGCUGUCCAUACCGCAACAAGGAAUGCCAUAGUCUGCAAUGAAACUUCUGAACCACCUAUCAUGAUCUUGCCUUCUGCUCUUCAAGGCAGUGUAAAGGCCAAAGGUGAAUAUUAUACCCAACAAUCCAUUUGUUUAAAGCCACUGAAAUUAAUACAUCUCUACCUUUGGAUCUUCAGCUUUGGGAAUUUUGAACGAACUCACCAUUCCCUG